rnacentral:tRNA from 1 species
UCCUGCUUAGCUCAGUUAGGAAAGCGCCCUACUGGAAAUGGAGAGCUUCCUGGUUUGAUACCAGGACCAGUAG